ensembl:misc_RNA Metazoa_SRP Metazoan signal recognition particle RNA
GCCGGGCACGGUGACUCAUGCCUGUAAUCCCAGCACUUUGGGAGGCCGAGGCGGGUGGAUCUCCUGAGGUCGGGAGUUCAAGACCAGCCUGACCAACAUGGAGAAAGCCCGUCUCUA